GGUAAAUACUCCAGGCCGAUGGCUCGCUCUUCCUUGGGGAACAGAAGCAGAAAACCAGAUACCGUUGAUGGAGACGCAGUGAAAGCUGGUGUCUCUGAAGCAGAUCACCUGAUUGGAUGGAUGGAUGGAGGCGGGGCUUGCGUCUCACUUUUUAUUGCAUCACCACUGGCACACUUCCUCUCACUCAGAUUCCAGAGUGCUGAUUUUAUUUGCUGUCAUUAUAUCAAUGCUUCUGUAAUGUAAUGAUAAGAAUACAAUAAAUCACCUUAAUUAUC